UUGGUUGCAACAACCACUUUUUAAAUAGUUCUCAGCCCACUGGGAGGGCUUUAACAGGCUGACAGUAGCGACAGUGAUUCACUUUCAUUCAACAAUGUGGGAAAAGUGGUGAUGAAAGAAUGGUUAUUCAUAAUUUUCUUGAUUCUUCGGUACUUUAUUUUGGGUGACAAUCAUAACUGUUAUAGGCCAAUUUUGAGCCGUUUUAAACUACUCAGCCCAGUUACAUUUCCAAAUUAAACCUAAAACUACCCAUUUAACCACCCCAUGCCCAAAACCCAAAUACAACAUAAACCCAUUAAACCCUUACCCAACACCUAACCCACUAAAUUAACAGCCCACUAACCCAUCAAAACCCACUACCCAACAACAGACCCACUACCCAAUUGACUCUAGCCCAAACACACAAGGCCCAAAUCCUUGACCCAAAUUCUGACUUAGGGUUUUAGUUUUUGAAACCCUAAACCUGCUCAGCACCGCAACGUCCCAUCCACCACUGACCUCUGCCAAGGCCACCAACCGGCACCGGUCACCUGCCCCUGCCAUCGUACUGCUUCAUCUGCUCCUGCAAGAACACGCAAACAAUAAAAAAAUAGAUGAAAAAGGGUUAUAAAACCCGAAUCAGAAUGUAAAAAAAGGGGGAUUUUUUUUUCUUUCUCAAUAGAAAAAACGAAGGUAACGGGGGGGCAUUUCUUUUUUUUCUGAAUAUUCAAAAAAGAAACACAACAAUACAAACACAAAAAACCAAUAUUCAAAAGCAAUCAAACAAGAAAAAGGUGAUUUCUAUGUUCCUUUCCCUUUUUACCACUGUUAUUCAUAGAUAAAUAAAAAAAAAUACGAACUUUUACCGUUUUGAAAAGGCGAUCGGAGAGUUAAAACCGAGCAAUCUAUUUCCAUUUCUAAUCAGCUUUUGUGGUGUUUUUGGAUACUACAAACACGGAUCCAGGGUAAAGGAAGAAAGAGGGUUAAAAAGGGACGAUUUCACAUUCUCGACCACCGUACACGGUGGUCGCCGGCGACGGACUGACGGUGAUCCGAUCGCUAAAAUCGCACAGUCCAGAGCAUCGUAACCACCCUCCUUUCUUUUUUUUUGAAAAACCCUAGCUAAAAAUGAAAUUUUGAGGAAAAAGUUGGCUUUUAUAGCAGGUUUAAACGGUGCCGUUUUGCACCUGGGUAUUUGACGCUUAAACGGCGUCGUUUUACACUGCCCGACCCGAUUCGACCCGAACCUACUUCAGG
rnacentral:lncRNA from 1 species